rnacentral:rRNA from 1 species
GAUGAACGCUGGCGGCGUGCCUAAUACAUGCAAGUCGAGCGAACAGACGAGGAGCUUGCUCCUUUGACGUUAGCGGCGGACGGGUGAGUAACACGUGGGUAACCUACCUAUAAGACUGGGAUAACUUCGGGAAACCGGAGCUAAUACCGGAUAAUAUUUCGAACCGCAUGGUUCGAUAGUGAAAGAUGGCUUUGCUAUCACUUAUAGAUGGACCUGCGCCGUAUUAGCUAGUUGGUAAGGUAACGGCUUACCAAGGCAACGAUACGUAGCCGACCUGAGAGGGUGAUCGGCCACACUGGAACUGAGACACGGCCCAGACUCCUACGGGAGGCAGCAGUAGGGAAUCUUCCGCAAUGGGCGAAAGCCUGACGGAGCAACGCCGCGUGAGUGAUGAAGGUCUUCGGAUCGUAAAACUCUGUUAUUAGGGAAGAACAAACGUGUAAGUAACUGUGCACGUCUUGACGGUACCUAAUCAGAAAGCCACGGCUAACUACGUG